rnacentral:rRNA from 1 species
ACGCGAGGAACCUUACCCGGGCUUGAACUGCAGGAGAAGGAUACAGAGAUGUUGACGCCCUUCGGGGCUCCUGUGGAGGUGCUGCAUGGUUGUCGUCAGCUCGUGCCGUGAGGUGUCGGCUUAAGUGCCAUAACGAGCGCAACCCUUUUCGUCAGUUGCCAUCAGGUAAUGCUGGGCACUCUGGCGACACUGCCACCGUAAGGUGUGAGGAAGGUGGGGAUGACGUCAAAUCAGCACGGCCCUUACGUCCGGGGCUACACACGUGUUACAAUGGGUGGUACAGAGAGUAGGUCGCUGGCAAUAGCGAUCCAAUCCUAAAAGCCAUCCUCAGUUCGGAUUGGGGUCUGCAACCCG